AAAUGAAUAGACGGGGGCCCGCACAAGCGGUGGAUUAUGUGGUUUAAUUCGAUGAUACGCGAGGAACCUUACCAAGACUUAAAUGGGAAAUGACAGAUUUAGAAAUAGAUCCUCCUUCGGGCAUUUUUCAAGGUGCUGCAUGGUUGUCGUCAGCUCGUGCCGUGAGGUGUUAGGUUAAGUCCUGCAACGAGCGCAACCCCUGUCACUAGUUGCUACCAUUGAGUUGAGGACUCUAGUGAGACUGCCUACGCAAGUAGAGAGGAAGGUGGGGAUGACGUCAAAUCAUCACGGCCCUUACGUCUUGGGCCACACACGUAAUACAAUGGCAGGUACAGAGGGCAGCUACACAGCGAUGUGAUGCGAAUCUCGAAAGCCUGUCUCAGUUCGGAUUGGAGUCUGCAACUCGACUCUAUGAAGCUGGAAUCGCUAGUAAUCGCGCAUCAGCCAUGGCGCGGUGAAUACGUUCCCGGGCCUUGUACACACCGCCCGU
rnacentral:rRNA from 1 species